rnacentral:rRNA from 1 species
AUUGAACGCUGGCGGCAUGCCUUACACAUGCAAGUCGAACGGCAGCACGGGAGCAAUCCUGGUGGCGAGUGGCGAACGGGUGAGUAAAGUAUCGGAACGUGCCCAGUCGUGGGGGAUAACGUAGCGAAAGUUACGCUAAUACCGCAUACGAUCUAUGGAUGAAAGCGGGGGAUCGCAAGACCUCGCGCGAUUGGAGCGGCCGAUAUCAGAUUAGGUAGUUGGGGGGGUAAAGGCUCACCAAGCCGACGAUCUGUAGCUGGUCUGAGAGGACGACCAGCCACACUGGGACUGAGACACGGCCCAGACUCCUACGGGAGGCAGCAGUGGGGAAUUUUGGACAAUGGGCGAAAGCCUGAUCCAGCCAUGCCGCGUGCAGGAUGAAGGCCUUCGGGUUGUAAACUGCUUUUGUACGGAACGAAAAGGUUUGGCCUAAUAAGCUGAGCUCAUGACGGUACCGUAAGAAUAAGCACAGGCUAACUACGUGCCAGCAGCCGCCGUAAAAC